UAGUGUUACACCUCUUUUAGAAUUGUCUAGCAGGUCUUCCUGUCUCUACAGGAAGGUCCCC
rnacentral:snRNA from 1 species